CCCUGGCAGUCAGAGGCGAUGAAGGGCGUGCUAAUCUGCGAUAAGCGCCGGUAAGGUGAUAUGAACCGUUAUAACCGGCGAUACCCGAAUGGGGAAACCCAGUGUGACUCGUCACACUAUCAUUAACUGAAUCCAUAGGUUAAUGAGGCGAACCGGGGGAACUGAAACAUCUAAGUACCCCGAGGAAAAGAAAUCAACCGAGAUUCCCCCAGUAGCGGCGAGCGAACGGGGAGGAGCCCAGAGCCUGAAUCAGCAUGUGUGUUAGUGGAAGCGUCUGGAAAGGCGCGCGAUACAGGGUGACAGCCCCGUACACAAAAGCGCAUGUGCUGUGAGCUCGAUGAGUAGGGCGGGACACGUGGUAUCCUGUCUGAAUAUGGGGGGACCAUCCUCCAAGGCUAAAUACUCCUGACUGACCGAUAGUGAACCAGUACCGUGAGGGAAAGGCGAAAAGA
rnacentral:rRNA from 1 species